AUUGAUUAUGACGUGCUUGCACUGAAUGAGAUUUUAACACGAAGUGAGUGGCGGACGGGUGAGUAACACGUGGGUAACCUGCCCAGAAGCAGGGGAUAACACCUGGAAACAGAUGCUAAUACCGUAUAACAGAGAAAACCGCCUGGUUUUCUUUUAAAAGAUGGCUCUGCUAUCACUUCUGGAUGGACCCGCGGCGCAUUAGCUAGUUGGUGAGGUAACGGCUCACCAAGGCGAUGAUGCGUAGCCGACCUGAGAGGGUAAUCGGCCACAUUGGGACUGAGACACGGCCCAGACUCCUACGGGAGGCAGCAGUAGGGAAUCUUCCACAAUGGACGCAAGUCUGAUGGAGCAACGCCGCGUGAGUGAAGAAGGGUUUCGGCUCGUAAAGCUCUGUUGUUAAAGAAGAACGUGGGUGAGAGUAACUGUUCACCCAGUGACGGUAUUUAACCAGAAAGCCACGGCUAACUACGUGCCAGCAGCCGCGGUAAUACGUAGGUGGCAAGCGUUAUCCGGAUUUAUUGGGCGUAAAGCGAGCGCAGGCGGUCUUUUAAGUCUAAUGUGAAAGCCUUCGGCUCAACCGAAGAAGUGCAUUGGAAACUGGGAGACUUGAGUGCAGAAGAGGACAGUGGAACUCCAUGUGUAGCGGUGAAAUGCGUAGAUAUAUGGAAGAACACCAGUGGCGAAGGCGGCUGUCUGGUCUGUAACUGACGCUGAGGCUCGAAAGCAUGGGUAGCGAACAGGAUUAGAUACCCUGGUAGUCCAUGCCGUAAACGAUGAUUACUAAGUGUUGGAGGGUUUCCGCCCUUCAGUGCUGCAGCUAACGCAUUAAGUAAUCCGCCUGGGGAGUACGACCGCAAGGUUGAAACUCAAAAGAAUUGACGGGGGCCCGCACAAGCGGUGGAGCAUGUGGUUUAAUUCGAAGCUACGCGAAGAACCUUACCAGGUCUUGACAUCUUCUGCCAACCUAAGAGAUUAGGCGUUCCCUUCGGGGACAGAAUGACAGGUGGUGCAUGGUUGUCGUCAGCUCGUGUCGUGAGAUGUUGGGUUAAGUCCCGCAACGAGCGCAACCCUUAUUACUAGUUGCCAGCAUUCAGUUGGGCACUCUAGUGAGACUGCCGGUGACAAACCGGAGGAAGGUGGGGACGACGUCAAAUCAUCAUGCCCCUUAUGACCUGGGCUACACACGUGCUACAAUGGAUGGUACAACGAGUUGCGAAACCGCGAGGUUUAGCUAAUCUCUUAAAACCAUUCUCAGUUCGGACUGUAGGCUGCAACUCGCCUACACGAAGUCGGAAUCGCUAGUAAUCGCGGAUCAGCAUGCCGCGGUGAAUACGUUCCCGGGCCUUGUACACACCGCCCGUCACACCAUGAGAGUUUGUAACACCCAAAGCCGGUGGGGUAACC
rnacentral:rRNA from 1 species